UACGAAGGGGGCUAGCGUUGCUCGGAAUGACUGGGCGUAAAGGGCGCGUAGGCGGUUUGGCCAGUCAGAUGUGAAAUUCCUGGGCUCAACCUGGGAGCUGCAUUUGAUACGUUCGGACUAGAGUGGGGAAGAGGGUCGUGGAAUUCCCAGUGUAGAGGUGAAAUUCGUAGAUAUUCGCAAGAACACCAGUGGCGAAGGCGGCUCACUGGCUCGGUACUGACGCUGAGGUGCGAAAGCGUGGGGAGCAAACAGG
rnacentral:rRNA from 1 species